rnacentral:tRNA from 1 species
GCCUGGGUGGCUCAGUCGGUUGAGCAUCCGACUUCGGCUCAGGUCAUGAUCUCACAGUUUGUGAGUUCAAGCCCCACAUCGGGCU